CCUACGUGAGGCAGCAGUGAGGAAUAUUGGUCAAUGGGCGCGAGCCUGAACCAGCCAAGUAGCGUGAAGGAUGACUGCCCUACGGGUUGUAAACUUCUUUUAUAAAGGAAUAAAGUGAGGCACGUGUGCCUUUUUGUAUGUACUUUAUGAAUAAGGAUCGGCUAACUCCGUGCCAGCAGCCGCGGUAAUACGGAGGAUCCGAGCGUUAUCCGGAUUUAUUGGGUUUAAAGGGAGCGUAGAUGGGUUGUUAAGUCAGUUGUGAAAGUUUGCGGCUCAACCGUAAAAUUGCAAUUGAUACUGGCAGUCUUGAGUACAGUUGAGGUAGGCGGAAUUCGUGGUGUAGCGGUGAAAUGCUUAGAUAUCACGAAGAACUCCGAUUGCGAAGGCAGCUUACUAAACUGCCACUGACAUUGAUGCUCGAAAGUGUGGGUAUCAAACAGGAUUAUAUACCCUUGUAGUC
rnacentral:rRNA from 1 species